CAGCUGAUGGGUUGGUAUGUUUUCCUGCCUGUUGGUUGUUUGGCAUGAGGCAUCCCAGCCCUGGAGCCUACAGGCUGUUGGGUGAGGAUAGGUCUUGUUGCCAAAGUAGAGACUUCCAGAAGACCUCAAGCUGAUGAAUAUUCCCCCAGUACCUCCACCACCAGUGUCAUUGUCGCCACAGCCGCCCCGCCCCACCCGCCUCCCUGGAGACCCUCCAAGACCAGCAGGAGCUUUCAUUUGAUAAAGGCAACUCUUGGCUCUGAGAUACUGUUAUGUUCAGGAUCGAAACAAGAUCCAGCUGGUUCUGUGUUAAUCCAGUGAGACUCAAAAAUGUCAACUCACAAUUUAUCUCCAAAAGAGGAAAUAUCCUUUCCUAAUACUGCAAUGAAUGCCAUCACUAAAGAUGAAAUUUCAUCAUAAGUGUCUACAAAAAGAGACAAGAAGAUCAUAAUAAAAAUUCUCACAGGAAACAUCCUGACCAGGCCCACCUAUGCAUGGCUGCAGGAAAGAAGAAAUUAACAUCCACCCCCUCCAGAGUCUGGCUGGAACUAGGAAAUAUUUGCAACAUCUUAUUGCCUAUUUUUUCCCUUUAUCUCCUCACUUCCCCCUCUUUGCUCUAUGAAAGAAACUAGCAUACAAACCCAAGCAAGAUGGUUUUUUGGAACACUAGUCUACCAUCUUCUCUGCUGGCUUUCUGAAUAAAGUUGUUAUUCCUUGCCCAACAACUUGUCUCUUGAUUUGAUUGGCCUGUCAUGUGGUGAGCAGUAUGAGCUUGGGACUCAGUAAGAUCACCAGUGCAUCAAAAAGAAGAAAAUGCCUAGGAUUAAACCUACCUAAGGAGGUGAAAGAUCUGUACUCAGAAAACUAUAAGACACUGGUGAAAGAAAUUGAAGAUGACACAAACUGUUGGUGGGAAUGUAAAUUGGUGCAGCCACUGUGAAAAACAGUAUGGAGGAUUCUCAAAAAACUAAAAAUGGAACUACCAUAUGACCCAGUAAUUCCACUCCUGGGUAUAUAUCCAAAACAAACAAAAAAAUGAAAACACUAAUUUGAAAAGAUACAUACACUCCAAUGUUCAUAGCAGCAUUAUUUACAAUUACCAAGAUAUGGAAGCAGACUAAGUGACCAUUAACAGAUGGGUGAAUAAAGAAGAUGUGGUAUAUAUAUACAAUGGAAUACUACUCAGUCAUA